rnacentral:rRNA from 1 species
UACAGAGGUCCCAAGCGUUGUUCGGAUUCAUUGGGCGUAAAGGGUGCGUAGGCGGCGGGGCAAGUCUGAUGUGAAAUCCCGGGGCUCAACCCCGGAACUGCAUUGGAUACUGCCUUGCUUGAGUACUGGAGAGGAGACUGGAAUUUACGGUGUAGCAGUGAAAUGCGUAGAUAUCGUAAGGAAGGCCAGUGGCGAAGGCGAGUCUCUGGACAGUUACUGACGCUGAGGCACGAAGGCCAGGGGAGCAAACGGG